AGCAGCCGCAGUAAUUCCAGCUCCAAUAGCGUAUAUUAAAGUUGUUGCAGUUAAAAAGCUCGUAGUUGAAUUUCGGGAUCAAUGUUUCGGUCAUGCCCUUGGUAUGUACUGAUAUUAUUGGUUUCUCACCUUCUAAAGAACCGUAAUGCCAUUAAUUUGGUGUCACGGGGAAUUAGGACUGUUACCUUGAAAAAAUUAGAGUGUUUAAAGCAGGCUCACGCCUGAAUACAUUAGCAUGGAAUAAUGAAAUAGGACAUCCGAUUCUAUUUUGUUGGUUUCUAGGAUCGAUGUAAUGAUUAAUAGGGAUAGUUGGGGGCAUUAGUAUUCAAUUGUCAGAGGUGAAAUUCUUGGAUUUAUUGAAGACUAACUACUGCGAAAGCAUUUGCCAAGGAUGUUUUCAUUAAUCAAGAACGAAAGUUAGGGGAUCGAAGACGAUCAGAUACCGUCGUAGUCUUAACCAUAAACUAUGCCGACUAGGGAUCGGAUGAUGUUAAUUUUUUAAUGACUCA
rnacentral:rRNA from 1 species